AAAGCCCACCAAGGCGACGAUCAGUAGCCGGCCUGAGAGGGUGAACGGCCACAUUGGGCUGAGACACGGCCCAAACUCCUACGGGAGGCAGCAG
rnacentral:rRNA from 1 species